rnacentral:rRNA from 1 species
AUGUCUUUUUGAAAAUAAUAUAAAGUUUAAUCUGCCCACUGAUUUAUAAAUUGAAGGGCUGCAGUAUAUUGACUGUACAAAGGUAGCAUAAUCAUUAGUCAUUUAAUUGAUGACUUGUAUGAAGGAUUGGAUGAGAUAUAAACUGUCUCUUAUUUAAUUAUAAAAUUUAAUUUUUUUAUUAAAAAGUUAAAAUAAUUUAAAAAGACGAGAAGACCCUAUAGAGUUUAAUAAGUAUUAAAAUUAAGAUUAUUUUGAAAUAUAAACUUGAAAUUUGAUUAUUUAUUUUAUUGGGGUGAUAGAAAAAUAUAUAAAACUUUUUUUAAAAAUAAAACAUUUAUAAGUGGUUAAAUGAUCCGGUAUUAUUGAUUAUAAGAAAAAAUUACCUUAGGGAUAACAGCGUAAUUUUUUUUUUUAGUUCAAAUAAGAAAAAGAGUUUGCGACCUCGAUGUUGGAUUAAGAUAAAAUUUAAAUGUAGAAGUUUAAAAUUUUGAUCUGUUCGAUCAUUAAAAUCUUAC